GCUCUUUUCCAUCUCUUUUCAAGGAGCCACCAUGCCCACGUGUAGUGUAGUUUGUUUCUGCAUUUUCUUUUACACCAUAGUGUGCUCUUGUGAGGUCCUUGCUGGGAUUAGCCCAAGACACACAUCCUAUCUAUGUAUUGCUUCAUCUUCACCUGCCAUGCUUUCUAUCCCAACAACUCAUAGGAUUACAGAGUCACAUCACUGAAGCAUCUGGCUGCUCUCGCUCUUACAUGUUUCUCUGUCUCUGUCUCUGUCUCUGUCUCUGUCUCUGUCUCUGUCUCCCUCCUUCCUCUCUCUCUCUCUCUCUCUGUCUCUCUCUCUCUCUCUCUGUGCAUGGGAGAGGUUUGGCACUCCUGUACUCUUCUAUUUUCUAGCCCCACUCCGGAUCCCUGGGGUGGUCUCUGAUGGAGUGGAGGCAGCCUGGGCAUGGAGGGGAGGCGUGCCUGAUGUGGGUCCAGCCGGUCCCCCAUGUGCUCUGACCCCCUUUGAGUUCAAGAAGUUUUCACAGAGGAGAUGAUACAUGGCUAGCCACAGGAGGAUGAAUGCACUACAGGUGUUUCCAGGAGAAAGAAGAGCACAAAGUGCGUUUCUAUGCAGUCUGACCUCGAAGGCAAUCCACGGGGGAAGCUCUGAUUGACUCAGCGCUCAUGAAAUAAGAUGAUGAAAACCAACCUUCCUCCUUCUCUCCUGUCUCUGGGCGACCUUUCAUGGUGGAUGCUGGGAACGUAAAGUUAAGAAGAAAUCCAUGGAAAGCAAGACUCCUAAGUCUAGACAGCCACCAAGGCUCAAGGCGUCAGGCAGACACAGGAGCAAGAAUAGCAGCGGAGGCUAAGCUGUAUUUUCCCUUGUUUGGAAAGGGCAAGGAAGGCUUGGGAGUAUCUUUGGACAAAGAGAUCAGUUCUUUUCUUAUUUGAGAGAAGUAAAAGAUAUGGUAUUUC